GUAGGUGAACCUGCGGAAGGAUCAUUAAUGAAUAAAAGGGUGCUCUCUUAACUGAGAGGCCUGACCUUCAUUCUUCUACACUGUGAACUAUUUUUGAAAGAGAGACUCUACGAGCUGCGAAGCGAAUUGAGAAUCUCUUUUCAACACUUUUAAACUCUAUCAAGUCUAAGAAUGUAUAAAAACCAAAAUAUAAAGAAAAACUUUCAACAACGGAUCUCUUGGCUCUC
rnacentral:misc_RNA from 1 species